GUCUCCCCGGAGCUGCCAAGAGGCUGGUCCCCAGAGAAGCCCUUUGCGAGCCUGAGCUUGUCCCGAGAGUCAAGCUCUUCUCUAGGUACACGUUGAACAAAGCCCGCCCCCACACAGAGGCCGCCCCUUGGCUGCCAAGGACAGCAACGUCUUUGUUCUCAGGCUCUUUCAGAGCCCAGGGCCUACGAAGUGGACAAUAGGCCUGCCUUGUCCUUCCUUUGGCCUCACUUUCCUUAGAGGCCACAGUGGUUGGGGGGGUCAGGCAAGGAUGCAUGCCCUCGGGGUCCUAGGGGCCCACCCUGUGGGUUUCAGGCAGCUUCUUUUGUACUUCAGGCUGAAACGGUUGGUGCCAAGGAGAGGAGAGCGAGCAGGAGCGUGCCCUUCCCUCGAACAGGACUUCGCGUUCUGACCAACGGUAGAGGGUUGAACGGGCCUGCCAGGAGAUGCAUGCGAGUCCUAACCCCGGGUAGCUGUGCACGCACCCUUAUUUGGAAAUAAGGCCUUUGCAGAUGUAAUUAAGUUGAGGAUCAUGAGAGGAGAUCAUUGCAGAUUUAGGGCCCUAAAUCCAAUGACUGGUGUCCUUAGAGAGAAAAGAGACAGAGUUCUGACACUCAGAGACUAGGGUGAAGACGCAGCCAGCCCUAGGACAAAGGACGCCUGGGGGCCCCAGAAGCUGGAGGAGGUAGGAACGAUCUUCCCCUAGAGCCCGGGAGGGAGCAUGGCUCUGCCCACAUGAAGGUUUUCCUCCAGAACUGUGAGAGAAGAAAUUUCUGUUGUUUUAAACCACCCAAUUUGUGACAAUUUGUUACAGCAGCCCCAGGAAACUCACACGCCAGCCGUGGGUGCUUCCUGAGCCUCUGUGGUAAAGCCUCUUCUCUGCAUUUUGCAAAGUUCAAAGCCGGUGUUUAACAGGGUUCUGGACAGUGCCAAACGCUGUGAAAGGUAGAAGAAAUGAGCGGCUACGGUCCCAGGACCCAAGCAACUUACAACUCUAUGGGAGAGACAGACCUGAUUCUUCUACCUUCUCAUUUAAGGCAGUAUGUCUUGUAAUGGUGAUGCCAAGUGCAAAGGCAUAUAGAAAAAGAAGAGGCGAAAGGAGAGGCUUCGGGAGGGCCACAGACUGAACAGGCUGCAUUUUCACUUGAAGGAAAAUCUUCUUUUACAUGAUGUCUCUUCCUACACGCCCACGCUUAAUAUGGCGCCUGAAUAAAUUAAGGGGCUGAAUAAAUGUCUGCUGAAUUAACAAAGGAAUGAAUAAAUGAACAUAUAAAGUGAAGAUAGAAAUAAAAUCAUCUUGGACA
rnacentral:lncRNA from 1 species